rnacentral:lncRNA from 1 species
CCACCUGGCCCCCCAGUAUUCUUCUUCUGGCCUGGUUAUAUCGCUGUCGUCUUUCCUGUAACGGCUUACGCUCGGACCAUCUCGCCUCAGGUAACACCGCUUGGUUUAUUUUAUAUAUUGCGUUAUGUAUAUAAUUAUCCUUAAUUUUAGGUAUGUCCUCUGUAUUGAGGAACUGAACUCUGAACUAUUGGUUGCUCGUGGAACGCGACUCCUCCAGUUGCAUCGUGCUCCUUCUCCCGUUUCCCGGACGACAUUUCGGACAUUUAGGGAGGAUUACUCCGGCAAACCCACACUUGUAGCAGAAUAUGUUCCGCACUUCUGACUCACACUCACGCUUGCUGGAUCAACGAUCUCGUCAGCGCCUCAGGGAUCCAUAGUUUCCACUGGAACUCCUCGAAUUCCGGUCGGGCAAAUUGUGUACGACUAAAUAGCAAUCCAUCCUCCACCUUCAGGUCUGGAAACAUUUCUUCAUCGAUCUUAACCAUCUCUAUCCUUUUCAGGUAGUCCUCGUCCUCUCAAACUCAAGGAAGUCGAUUGCUUCUAGAUCAAACGGACGCGACAGCAUGUCUGCGACGAUGUUGUCCUUUCCCUUUCGAUGCUCUAUCUGGAAGUUGUAUGCCUGCAGAGCUAGGGACCAUCUCGCCAGCCUACCAUCCAGCGCUUUGAAACGCAUCAGCCACUGCAAGCUCGCGUGAUCAGUGAUCACAGUGAAUGGCAUCAGCUCUACGUACGCCCGGAACUUUUCUACGGCUCUCACUGCCGCUAGACACUCCUUCUCUGGCACACUAUAGUUUAGUUGUGCGCCUCUCAGCUUCGCCGAAAAGAAAGCAAUGGGGUGUUCGGCUUCCUCCUCAUCCUUCUGGAAAAGAACCGCACCGAUUCCCACAUGACUUGCAUCACACUGGAUGAAGAAGUGCUUCUUAAAGUCGGGGUGAUGCAAUACCGGCGCGCUGGUAAGUGCCUUUUUUAGCUCCUCAAAAGAGUCUCGUGCGUCCGCUGUUAGCUGAAAUUGUCCUUUUCCUUUCAGGCAGUCUGUGAGAGGGGCUGAAAGUGCCGAAAAAUUCCGGAUGAAUCGCCGAUACCAGCCCGCCGUACCCAAAAAUCUCCUGACUUGUCUCACGUUUCUCGGCAUCGGUAUCUGUACGAUCGCUUGCACCUUCUCGGGGUCGGUCCUCAGUGCGCCAUCGCCCACAAUGUACCCCAGGUACUUCAGGUACUUAUAGCAGAACCUAGACUUUUUCUUUCCUAUUGUCAGGUUUGCCG